rnacentral:lncRNA from 1 species
AGGAUGCAAUGGAGAACAUUUACAGAGGACUGUGGGUAAAGCAAAGUCUUCAAGGGAAGAUAACAAAGGAUGAAACAAUGGUGUUGUGUGACUUCCUAGUGUGAAUCAUGGCAAUACAGUGAAAGACAGUGAUUUACUGCUUUUGAGGGCGUGCAUGUAUAUGAUUAACGGAUGGAAGUGCAGGACUCCAAGAUUUACUUCCUUCCCUUUCCAGCAGAAUUACCUGAGACGAGUAAAAUCUACUGGUGGAGUCACUCCAUUAUUCUUAUCUGUGGAGAUCUAGAUCUUGAUUUGAAAGUUUCUGAGAAAAUCUUCAGCUCAGACUUGAGGGUCAACUUUACCAGCUGAAGGAUCUGCAUUUACUGCUCAACCACAUCUAAUUUGAUGUCCUCUGCAGAUUUAAAAUGUGUGCCUUCUUUUCCGUCACCAAGUCAUCCCUGGGUUACUACUGAACAUCCUUCUCAAUUCCCCCCGACCCAUGGAUGGCUGUUCUCCAUUGUCUGUUUCACCAGAUGUCCUCAAAACAAACAGACAGAAGAAGGAAGUGGCUAAUGGAGCUGUGGAGUCCAAGUGUGACUGCCAAGAGGAAUCCAGCAAAGCCAAAAAGCCCAAGCAUGUAGCCCUGCCCGAAGCACGCCACACGCAUGGAAAACCCAGAGGAAAUGAGUGAGGAUCAAUGGGAAGAAGAGAGCCAGCCAGUUCUGGAGACCAGAAGGCCAAAAUCAAAAGUAUGGGCAGGCUUGAUUUCUUUAGAAGACUCCAGCGGAGAACUGUGUCUCCUUGCUUCUGAUUCUACAUCUCCAUCCAUGGGCCACUGUUUCAGCAACCUCAGCCAGUGCAACACAACCUCAGCCAAGAAGAGUAUGCAGAGAAAGGAGUCCCCUACCUGCCACAAAACUGUUGUCUGAAAACUGUCUCAUAUUGUCUCAAGUUGUCAUUCAUUGUGAAUUAGACCUGUUUAACAUGUAAUCUGC